GCCUGGGUGGCACAGCGGUUGAGCGUCUGCCUUCGGCUCAGGGCAUGAUCCCGGCAUUAUGGGAUCGAGCCCCACCUCAGGCU
rfam:Ailuropoda melanoleuca scaffold1546_9, whole genome shotgun sequence.